rnacentral:rRNA from 1 species
GAUGAACGCUGGCGGCGUGCCUAAUACAUGCAAGUCGAGCGAACAGACGAGGAGCUUGCUCCUCUGACGUUAGCGGCGGACGGGUGAGUAACACGUGGAUAACCUACCUAUAGGACUGGGAUAACUUCGGGAAACCGGAGCUAAUACCGGAUAAUAUAUUGAACCGCAUGGUUCAAUAGUGAAAGACGGUUUUGCUGUCACUUAUAGAUGGAUCCGCGCCGCAUUAGCUAGUUGGUAAGGUAACGGCUUACCAAGGCAACGAUGCGUAGCCGACCUGAGAGGGUGAUCGGCCACACUGGAACUGAGACACGGUCCAGACUCCUACGGGAGGCAGCAGUAGGGAAUCUUCCGCAAUGGGCGAAAGCCUGACGGAGCAACGCCGCGUGAGUGAUGAAGGUCUUCGGAUCGUAAAGCUCUGUUAUUAGGGAAGAACAAAUGUGUAAGUAACUAUGCACGUCUUGACGGUACCUAAUCAGAAAGCCACGGCUAACUACGUG